GUGGACUUCAGCGUUUACAUAAGGAGGGCCUUUGAUAUCUGUUCACCUCUGCUUUUUAGUAGCCCAAGUCGCCGAGGCAAGGGAUGAGAGUUUGCCUACUUGCUUGAAAGGAGAAGGAACAAAAAAACUAAAGGGAGAACAAUACAAUUUAAAAGUAUUUUAGUGAAUUUGCCUGCCACGUCUGCAUGAUCUUACCAAACCCCACCUUUCAAGGGAGGUGUUCUUUCUCCUAUUUCAAUGAGAGGGAAACCGAGGUUUAGAGAAGCCAACCGAGUAACUUGCUCAAAGUCAGUUGUGUUUACAGCAAAGCCAGGAUUUAAAAUGAGGAGAGUUUCACUCCAAAAUAGUUUUAUUCAUCACACUGUGCUUUCCCUCAGGCACACAAAAAAAGGAUGUUCAGAGUUUUCUAAGCAUGGAGUACGAUGACCAGAAUGGAUCAUCCAUUGUGCAGCCCAAUUAUGUGACACCCCACGCACCCGCCCCAAGUCGCCGGAGGUGGGAGAGCACUUCAUCCUCCUCCCGGGCCCUGUUGCUCCCUGGGGAGGCCAGCUGGUCCCCGGGAAGAAUUUUUGCCCUCGUGAGGAAGCAGGUAGCGGAGGUCACCGGCUGCUUCCCCUGGACUGGCUGCCCCUACACGGGGUCAGGCUGGGGAACUGAAAUUGUAAAGCAGAGGUCUGUGUGGAGCCUUUGAAUAUUUUCUUAAACAGCCAGUGAUGGAAACUUUCGAUAACAGCUCGAGUAAAGGCUGAUGGCUGUAAGAGUAUCCUCCGUGGAUGGGACUGGAAAGGAAUCUCUGCUGCUUGUGGCCCGGCUGCCUGAGCCGGUGGUCUUCGCCCACCAUCUGGGAUCCUCGUGGUGGGUUCUGCUGCCCGAAGCCUCGGUUGUCAUCAAUCAACCUGCACCCCCACAGGCCUUCCGGGCUUCGGGGGAUUUUGAAGCCAAAGAAAUGGGAAGGGGGACUCUCUUGGGGGGGUCUUCUUGAUGGCCCACCAGCUGGCACCCCCCGGCCACGGAGAGGCCCACGGAGGCCUCAGGAGGCUGGAGCACAGCAGUCACUGGGUCACUGCCCAGGUGCACCGACCCUGGCAGGGGGGCCCGGCCCUCCAGAAUCCAAAGGCCAAGGAAGAAGAACUCCAGAACUUAGAAUUCCUCUUCAUAGAAGGAGUUGUAGAAACCAAGUAGCAAUGAGGGUCACUCAACUGGAGCAGCUCUACGUGCUCUCCUACCAUGACAGCUUUUUGAGAAAUCUGAGGAAGCAUCAGCUUGCAGCCCGGCUGCGGUUUCCACCACGGAGCUGGCCAGACAGAGAGGCCUGCAGCGUGCCUGGGUGA
rnacentral:lncRNA from 1 species